CUUCAGCGAGCCGAGCCACAACGGCGUCUCCCGGUCCUGGCCGUAGGUCGCCAGCAAGGCCUGCGCCUC
rnacentral:antisense_RNA from 2 species